rnacentral:tRNA from 1 species
AUUACUUUGGCAGAAUAGUGUAUUGAAUUUAGAAUUCAAAAAUGUAAAUUUUUACAGGUAAUA